rnacentral:rRNA from 1 species
AUUGAACGCUGGCGGAAUGCUUUACACAUGCAAGUCGAACGGUAGAGGGGGCAACCCCUCGAGAGUGGCGAACGGGUGAGUAAUAUAUCGGAACGUGCCCAGUCGUGGGGGAUAACGUAGCGAAAGUUACGCUAAUACCGCAUACGAUCUAAGGAUGAAAGCGGGGGAUCGCAAGACCUCGCGCGAUUGGAGCGGCCGAUAUCAGAUUAGGUAGGUGGUGGGGUAAAGGCUCACCAAGCCAACGAUCUGUAGCUGGUCUGAGAGGACGACCAGACACACUGGAACUGAGACACGGUCCAGACUCCUACGGGAGGCAGCAGUGGGGAAUUUUGGACAAUGGACGCAAGUCUGAUUCAGCCAUUCCGCGUGCAGGAUGAAGGCCCUCGGGUUGUAAACUGCUUUUGUACGGAACGAAAAGGUCUCUCUUAAUACGGGGGGCUCAUGACGGUACCGUAAGAAUAAGCACCGGCUAACUACGUGCCAGCCGCCGCGGUAA